rnacentral:rRNA from 1 species
AGCGAACGCUGGCGGCAGGCCUAACACAUGCAAGUCGAACGAACUAUUCGGAGUUAGUGGCGGACGGUUGAGUAACACGUGGGAACGUGCCUUGAGGUUCGGAAUAACUCAGGGAAACUUGUGCUAAUACCGAAUGUGUCCUUCGGGGGAAAGAUUUAUCGCCUUUAGAGCGGCCCGCGUCUGCUUAGCUUGUUGGUGGGGUAAUGGCCCACCAAGGCGACGAUCAGUAGCUGGUCUGCGAGGAUGACCAGCCACAUUGGGACUGAGACACGGCCAAACCUCCUACGUGAGGCAGCAGUGGGGAAUAUUGCGCAAUGGGCUAAAGCCUGACGCAGUCAUGCCUCGUGGAUGAUGAAGGUCUUAGGAUUGUAAAAUCCUUUCACCUGUGAAGAUAAUGACUGUAGCCGGAGAAGAAGCCCCGGCUAACUUCGUGCCAGCCGCCGCGGUAAAAC